CUGGCUCAGGACGAACGCUGGCGGCGUGCCUAACACAUGCAAGUCGAACGGAGUAAGAAUUCGGUUUUACUUAGUGGCGAACGGGUGAGUAACGCGUGAACAACCUGCCUUCCUGAGGGGGGAUAACACCUGGAAACAAGUGCUAAUACCGCAUAAGACCACAUGUCCGCAUGGACGAGGGGGUCAAAGGAGCAAUCCGCAGGGAGAGGGGUUCGCGUCCCAUUAGCUAGUUGGCGGGGCAACGGCCCACCAAGGCGACGAUGGGUAGCCGAGCUGAGAGGCUGAUCGGCCACACUGGAACUGAGACACGGUCCAGACUCCUACGGGAGGCAGCAGUGGGGAAUAUUGGGCAAUGGGCGCAAGCCCUGACCCAGCAACGCCGCGUGAGGGAAGAAGGUCUUCGGAUUGUAAACCUCUGUCCUAUGUGACGAAGGAAGUGACGGUAGCAUAGGAGGAAGCCCCGGCUAACUACGUGCCAGCCGCCGC
rnacentral:rRNA from 1 species